UUCCUGUCUGGACUUGGACUUAACAUAGUACUUUGUUGCUCAGGCAAUACCAACUUAAAAAUCAUUCUAUUUGUGUUCAUCCAAAAUUUUAAAAUAUGCAAGAUAAGAGCUUAGGCUUUGCAAGGACAUGGUAUUUCAUGAAAAAUUUGUUGCUGCCUCAUUGUAACUGGAUUGAAAUUAAUGGAAUUAACAGGAGAAUAAGCUUAUGCUUUAUGCCUCCUAUUCUAACCAGAGGGGUUCAGUUGUCAGUAGGUAAAUGCAAACUAUUUCUCUGUAUGUCUGGGUAGGUACACACAUCUACUUACACACACAUAUAUGCAGGUUAAUUUGCAAAUCAAUGGUGGUUUGGGAGAUUUUAUUUUUCCAUGCAAGGUAGUUUACUCAAUACUGUUUACAAUCUUGCUAUUUUGUUGUUAUAACACAAUUGUGCCAGCAGAUGAUAGAAACUUGCCUUGAAGCAGUGGGGGUCUGCUCAGCUGAAGACAACACAGAGGUGAGUAGAGGAUGCUGCCCUGCUGCCUUUCAUGUUUCUAAGUCCAUUCCUGAACCUAACUUGGAGUGUUCCAGGUCAGAUAUGAGGAUAUUUUUUUCCAGCCUUUUAGGAUCUGACCAUCAGAGUCAUCCCUGACUGAUGUUCCUUAAAUAUUUGAUUUCUUCAUAUUACCUACUGAACUGUAUUGCUGACAUGAUAAAACAGUUCCUUUGCCUUGUCUUUACAUAGGUGCUUUCUACAUGAAUAUAGCUUUAAUCUCUCUUCUGCAGUUGCCAAAUUUAUUAUUUUCUUAAAAAUGUAUUUGUAUGCUAGUUGCAAAUCAUUUCACUAUUUGUAUUUCAUUUUCCC